CUUUGCCUGGUCUGGUUUUCACCUUCCUCUCCAACUCCAUCCCAUCCUCCUUUGCCUCUGAUUCCUCAAGCCCAGGGUCCACUGGCCUCCUUUGUUCUUUGGGACGCUCUGGGCUGUGGCUGGGAGUUUCCCGAAUGAGUAACAAUUCCUCGGAAAGCCUCAUAUCUUGUGGAGGCUGCUCCCUGUGGCCUGUCCACACCCUCCCAUGCCAUCUCCAAGAGACCAGGAAGAGACGGCACUCACGCCUUUUCAAUUUCACUUUGGAGCAAUCUGACUGCGGAGAUCAAGAUGGGUUUCGUGUCACUGGCUAUGACUCCAAGAGCAAACCUUAAGGAAAAAGUUGUAUUUUCAGGAAAUCCUCAGCCUUCCAGUCCAGAAAAACACACCGCCCCUCCUUGCCUGUGCAACAGGCUACUCUUGCAGAGCCCAGAAAACAAGGAACUCUCCAGGAAACGGCAAGAUGGCUCAAUGACAAAAGUUGAACAAACCGCAAGAGUCUGGAGAUUUGAGCUCAAUCCCCUGAAGCCAUGUAAAUGGAGGAGAAAACUGACUCUCCAGCAUUGUCCUGACCGCCAUACACGCACUGUGGCACAUGUAAUAAUAAUAAUAAGUCUAAAUAAAUGAAAUAGAACCUUAAACUCAAAUAUUGAAGAACAAUACAUUGACCUGUUUGCAAAACUUAAAA